rnacentral:rRNA from 1 species
CCUACGGGAGACAGCAGUGAGAAAUAUUGGUCAAUGGACGAGAGUCUGAACCAGCCAAGUAGCGUGAAGGAUGACUGCCCUAUGGGUUGUAAACUUCUUUUAUAUGGGAAUAAAACGUUCCACGUGUGGGAUUUUGUAUGUACCAUAUGAAUAAGGAUCGGCUAACUCCGUGCCAGCAGCCGCGGUAAUACGGAGGAUCCGAGCGUUAUCCGGAUUUAUUGGGUUUAAAGGGAGCGUAGGUGGAUUGUUAAGUCAGUUGUGAAAGUUUGCGGCUCAACCGUAAAAUUGCAGUUGAAACUGGCAGUCUUGAGUACAGUAGAGGUGGGCGGAAUUCGUGGUGUAGCGGUGAAAUGCUUAGAUAUCACGAAGAACUCCGAUUGCGAAGGCAGUUCACUGGACUGCAACUGACACUGAGGCUCGAAAGUGUGGGUAUCAAACAGGAUUAGAUACCCCAGUAGUC